CUUAAAUGAAUUCGACGGGUCCCCGCACAAGCAGCGGAGCGUGUGGUUUAAUUCGUUGCUACACGAAGAACCUUACCUGGGUUUGACAUAGCAGUGGUAGGGAAGCGAAAGCGGACCGACCCUUCGGGGAGCUGUUACAGGUGUUGCAUGGCUGUCGUCAGCUCGUGUCGUGAGAUGUUCGGUUAAGUCCGCUAACGAGCGCAACCCGCGUUGUGUGUUACAAGUGUCACACAAUACCGCCGGUAUUAAGUCGGAGGAAGGUGCGGAUGACGUCAAGUCAGCAUGACCUUUAUAUCCAGGGCUACACACACGCUACAAUGGUCAGCACAAUAGGUUGCCAAGUCGUGAGACGGAGCCAAUCCUCCAAAGCUGGCCUCAGUUCAGAUUGUAGGCUGCAACCCGCCUGCAUGAAGUUGGAGUUGCUAGUAACCGCAGGUCAGCUAUACUGCGGUGAAUACGGUUCCCGGGGAUU
rnacentral:rRNA from 1 species